rnacentral:rRNA from 1 species
AGAGUUUGAUCCUGGCUCAGGAUGAACGCUAGCGGCAGGCCUAAUACAUGCAAGUCGAGGGGUAGAGAAGAGCUUGCUUUUCUUGAGACCGGCGCACGGGUGCGUAACGCGUAUGCAACCUACCUUUAUCAGGGGGAUAGCCCGAAGAAAUUCGGAUUAAUACCGCAUAAAAUCACAGUAUCGCAUGGUACAAUGAUUAA